rnacentral:rRNA from 1 species
CCCAAGGAUUCCAGGGGAAGGUUCGUCCGCCCUGGGUAAGUCGGGACCUAAGGCGAGGCCGAAAGGCGUAGUGGAUGGAAAGCAGGCGAAAGAUUCCUGCACCCGUAUAUGGAGCGAAGGAGUGACGGAGACGGAUAGUGUGACCCUCUUAAUGGAUUGAGGGCGAAGCGAAGCGGCUGGUUACCAGGCAAAUCCGGUAACCAAAAGGCUAGAGCGUGACAGGUAAGCGAAAUCUUAGGAAAGUAGCGAAGCACAUGAUGACGGCUUCCAGGAAAAGCUUCUGGCAAUGCAUAUGCGGCCCGUACCAAAACCGACACAGGUGGGCAGGGAGAGAAUCCCGAGGUGAGCGAGAGAACUGUUGCCAAGGAACUCGGCAAAAUGACUCCGUAAGUUAGCGAGAAGGAGUGCUUAAGCAAUUAAGCCGCAGUGAAGAGGCCCAAGCGACUGUUUAACUAAAACACAGCUCUCUGCGAAGUCGCAAGACGAAGUAUAGGGGGUGACACCUGCCCGGUGCUGGAAGGUUAAGAGGAUCUGUUAAGAGCGAUCUGAAGCAGUGAUCCGAAGCCCCAGUGAACGGCGGCCGUAACUAUAACGGUCCUAAGGUAGCGAAAUUCCUUGUCAGGUAAGUUCUGACCCGCACGAAAGGUGUAACGAUUUGGGCGCUGUCUCGGCAGCAGACUCGGUGAAAUCUUAGUACCUGUGAAAAUGCAGGUUACCCGCAACUAGACGGAAAGACCCCAUGGAGCUUUACUGCAGCCUGAUAUUGAAUUCUGGUCAUACAUGUACAGGAUAGGUGGGAGACAAAGAGACGUGCACGCCAGUGUACGAGGAGUCGACGUUGGGAUACCACUCUUGUGUGACCGGGGUUCUAACCUGGUAUCGAGAACAGGUACGGGGAGAGUGUCAGGUGGGCAGUUUGACUGGGGCGGUCGCCUCCCAAAGAGUAACGGAGGCGCCCAAAGGUACGCUCAGAUUGGAUGGAAACCAAUCGUCGAGUGCAAUUGCAGAAGCGUGCUUGACUGUGAGACAAACAAGUCGAACAGGGACGAAAGUCGGGAAUAGUGAUCCGGCGGUGCCGAAUGGAAGGGCCGUCGCUCAACGGAUAAAAGCUACCCUGGGGAUAACAGGCUGAUCUCGCCCAAGAGUUCACAUCGACGGCGAGGUUUGGCACCUCGAUGUCGGCUCAUCGCAUCCUGGAGCUGGAUUCGGUUCCA